CUGGCGUGACAAUCGGUCUGCGCGGGCGCAGUGGCGGCAGCCGCUGCACCCGCGUGGCUAGAAGCCCACGGUCUGCAGGCGAGUUGAGGUUUCAGACUCUUCAGCAGACAGCAGGAUGGGCUGCGCCAGGACACAGAUGACCGCUGGAUGUGCGAAAAAAGGGUCAGCACGUGAGCCACCAGGUCAUUCCAGCUUCGGCCGUGGGGCCCCGCUCAGACGCGCGCCUGUCUCCUGGUGAAAUCCUGGAGGCUGUCCUUUCCACCGUCCUGUCUGCACGAGGAGGACACAGGGGUCAGCUUCCUGGGAGAAGGGAGUCGUCCGGAUGGCUGGUCCCCGGAGGGAUGACUUACUGCAUGAACAUCGAAAUCAGAUGAACCCUGACGGCGACAGCGAUGGUGCACGGGCCCCUCACCCCGAUACCCAGGACCCAGAGAGGAUCGGCUGGAAGUGAUGGACACGAAACCACCGCCCCCCGCCCUGGAUAAAGUGGCAGGAGCAGCGACACGUGAGUGUCCGAGGCUGCUCUGUCUGUUCAUGUCCCCGAGUUCACGUGUUGAGUCCUAACACCCCCCCCCCCCCCCCCCCCCCCCCCCCCCCCCNGGGGUCAUGAGGGUGGGGCUUUAUGCUGCUGUAAGACAGCCCUCAGGGUGUUCCUGUCUUGGCUCAGUGGUUAACAAAUCUGACUAGGAACCAUGAGGUUGCGGGUUUGAUCCCUGGCCUUGCUCAGUGGGUUAAGGAUCUGGCAUUGCCGGGAGCUGUAGUGUAGGCCGGCAGCUACAGCUCCUAUUGGACCCCUUGCCUGGGAAUCUCUGUAUGCCGUGGGAGUGGCCCAAGAAAUGGCAGAAAGACAAGGAAAAAAAAAAAAAAAAAAAAAA
rnacentral:lncRNA from 1 species